rnacentral:lncRNA from 1 species
AUAUAUAUAUAGAGCUAGGCUACUAUACUAUCUAUAGUACCGAAGAUAGUGUUGGUUUUCGAUCUUAGGGCGUUCAAAUCAACGAUCCACACCGUUAAAACUGAUUUAGGGUAUUUAAAGUUUCUAGAAAUAAAAUUUUAUAUUUUUUCGACAUAGUUUACUUUAUGAUCAAACUAUUUCAAAAUUGUCAAUUUUCAAUGGCUAUUAUGACGAGUUUGGAGUUUAACGGUGUAGAAGAAUCUAAAUUUCUACAAAUUUUGAUAGAAAAUACUUUAAACUAUAUAGAUUAAGGUUAACAUUCUUGAUCUUGAAUUUAAAAGUUCUAUGCUCAAAUUUUAAAGAUUAUUCAAUUUUCACCGUCCAUUUUGAUAUAAUUUAUUUACUAAGUAAACGAUAUCGAAAAAAACUAAAAUUUUAUUCCUAAGAAAUUCAUAUACCCUAGAUCAUAUUUAACGGUGUGGAUCGUUAAUUUGAACGCCCUAAGAUCGAAAACAAACACUAUAGUACCGGAGCUCAGUACUAUAGAUAGUAUAGUAGCCUAAUUCUAUAUAUAUAUAUAUAUAUAGAACUAGGCUAGAAUAUUAUUAGUAGUAUCAAGUUGUUGGUGCUAUUAAGUUUUUGGCACUUGGAUGAAACGAUGUACGACUAGGAUGAUAGUGGUCGCCUAGGAUUAAGUGGGUGGUUAGUUGAAUAGUAUGAUUUAACAGUUGAAAAUGGCCAGAUAGAU